rnacentral:lncRNA from 1 species
CAUGAUAACAAUGAUCUCCUAUCUUAAUAGAAACAACACGCAUGCCAACAAUAGGUUUAUGUUUGUCUCUAGCAUGAGGUUUAGCAAUUCUAGCUGCAUCUUCACAGAAUUUAAUAACAUGCCCAUCAACAUUAUCGGACAAGUGAUCUUUAAUAAUAGCAAUGCUUGGUUCAACUUUAAUUUUCUCAGGGGGUGUAGGUGUUCUAAUGUAGCCCUUACGUAUCAUACUUGAAGCAUUAGCAUGAUCCUUUAUUCUAACAGGGAAAGGUGGUUUCUCAAUGUAAGCACUAGGAACAAUAGAAUCGUUAUAAGCAAUGACUUUCUCUUCAACUGGAUUGGGUUUUACUACAUUGACUUAUAUGGGAGGAUGAUAUUUAAACCACUUCUCCCUAGGGAGAUUAAUAUGAGCAGCAAAUGAUUGACAUAAUGAAGCUACUAUCUCAGAGUCUAGUCCAUGUUUAGCGCUAAAAUCACGAAA